GCCAGACUCCUACGGGAGGCAGCAGUGGGGGAUAUUGCACAAUGGGGGAAACCCUGAUGCAGCGACGCCGCGUGGGCGAAGAAGUAUUUCGGUAUGUAAAGCCCUAUCAGCAGGGAAGAAGAAAUGACGGUACCUGAGUAAGAAGCCCCGGCUAACUACGUGCCAGCAGCCGCGGUAAUACGUAGGGGGCAAGCGUUAUCCGGAUUUACUGGGUGUAAAGGGAGCGUAGACGGCAGUACAAGUCUGGAGUGAAAGGCGGGGGCUCAACCCCCGGACUGCUCUGGAAACUGUACGGCUAGAGUGUCGGAGAGGCAGGCGGAAUUCCUAGUGUAGCGGUGAAAUGCGUAGAUAUUAGGAGGAACACCAGUGGCGAAGGCGGCCUGCUGGACGAUGACUGACGUUGAGGCUCGAAAGCGUGGGGAGCAAACAGGAUUAGAUACCCCUGUAA
rnacentral:rRNA from 1 species